rnacentral:rRNA from 1 species
UACGUAGGUGGCGAGCGUUGUCCGGAUUUACUGGGCGUAAAGGGCGCGUAGGCGGCCACCGCAAGUCGAUUGUGAAAUCUCCGGGCUUAACCCGGAAAGGUCAACCGAUACUGCGGGGCUAGAGUGCAGAAGGGGCAACUGGAAUUCUCGGUGUAGCGGUGAAAUGCGUAGAUAUCGAGAGGAACACCUGCGGCGAAGGCGGGUUGCUGGGCUGACACUGACGCUGAAGUGCGAAAGCUAGGGGAGCGAACGGG